AUUGAACGCUGGCGGCAGGCCUAACACAUGCAAGUCGAACGAGUGGCGGACGGGUGAGUAAUGUCUGGGAAACUGCCUGAUGGAGGGGGAUAACUACUGGAAACGGUAGCUAAUACCGCAUACCAUCGGAUGUGCCCAGAUGGGAUUAGCUAGUAGGUGGGGUAAAGGCUCACCUAGGCGACGAUCCCUAGCUGGUCUGAGAGGAUGACCAGCCACACUGGAACUGAGGCACGGGCCAGACUCCUACGGGGGGCCGGCGUGGGGAAUAUUGCACAAAGGGCGCAAGCCUGAUGCCGCCAUGCCGGGUGUAUGAAGAAGGCCUUCGGGUUGUAAAGGACUUUCAGUGGGGAGGCGUUACCCGCAGGAGAAGCACCGGCUAACUCCGUGCCAACAGCCGCGGGAAUUC
rnacentral:rRNA from 1 species